ACCUGGCUAACUCAGUCGGUAGAGCAUGAGACUCUUAAUUUCAGGGUUGUGGGUUCAAGCCCCACAUUGGGUG